ensembl:lncRNA
GCUGCCUAAAGGAACCUCCUGCUCGGAGAAGCAGAGUCCUGACAGUGCCUGCUCUGUGGACUACUCCACCAGCUGCCUGUCCAGCCCCGAGCGGCCGGGUGAGGACUCAGAACCCACGGAGCCACUAAGUGUGGAUGGGAACUCAUCCGAACUGGACAUGGAGGACCUCGAUGAGGAAGACGAAGAGGGUGUGAGGAAGAGUGAGUCCAAGGCGUUAGAACCCCCAACCCCCGACCAGGAAGCCUUCCUCAAGAGACAUUUUGAAAACCUGACAGACCUCAGCCUCUCAGUGAGCCCACCUCCACCACCCCUAAACUCAACUGACAGUUUUAGUAUCUCGUCCAAGUUUUUGUCUCAGUGUUCUGCUGACUGCAAGGAGCCAGUUGCAUUCGCCGAAACCAGUAGCGCUGUGAGCGAGGAUGGCAGCAGAGUGGCAUGUGCCCUGGUCUCAGAGGUGCACCCCCUGGUGGAGGACAGGGUGCAGACCGGGCAGCAGGAGCCCCAGGGUUCUGAGAUGGGCUCAGACCUGCGUUUAACCCCACAGAGGAAGUGCGUCGUGGUGACUGACCCCAUGGCCCAAGCUUCUCGAGCUGCCUGUGCAGGCCUGCGCAAAGCCCAGUCCAUACACAACCUCUCCUCAGGGGGUAAGACAUCCUAAGGCAUCUACCAUCAGAAAUGAG